rnacentral:rRNA from 1 species
UACGGGGGGAGCGAGCGUUGUCCGGAAUUACUGGGCGUAAAGGGCGUGUAGGCGGUUUGAUAAGUCAGAUGUUAAAGGUUCCGGCUUAACCGGAGAAGGUCAUUUGAAACUGUCAGGCUGGAGUGCGAGAGAGGGUAGCGGAAUUCCCAGUGUAGCGGUGAAAUGCGUAGAUAUUGGGAAGAACACCAGUAGCGCAGGCGGCUACCUGGCUCGUAACUGACGCUGAGGCGCGAAAGCGUGGGGAGCAAACAGG